AGGACGGGGACAUGGGCAACAGGCAGAACCCAGGGACGGGGGGCAGGACGAGGUGGGGGGCUGUGUCCCCCCGGCCCUGUCGCCGCUGAUGUCCCCGCUGAUGUCCCCGCUGUCCCCAGGGAUGUGUGCUGGUGCCCAGUGUCUGCUGAACCUCCUGCGGCUGGGUCUGGGGGGUCAUCAGGGGCCUCUGGGGGGGCCACGGAGCGACCCCCCCGCCCCCCGCGGCCGAGAGGACGGCGAUGGUUCCGGGCAAGGAGGACUGAGACCCUCGGGACCCCCCCGGGACGCCCCCGGCCCUCCCCGCGCUGAAUAAACGCCCUUGAGCCGUGCCCGGCUUUGAGCGAUUUUGAGGCUUCCCGGGGUGGGGGGAGACGGGGGUUCGGGAUGAAACAAAGAUUUAAUUAGAAAAUUAAAUAGAAAAGUCAAAAUUAAAUAGGAACUGUAUAGAAAGUGAAAUCAGAGAUCAAACAAAAAGUUAAACGAAAAUAAAAAAGAUAUAAACCCGAAUAAAGCUAAACGAAAAAUAAAUAAGAAAGAAACACUAAAUAAAAAUCCAAUAAAAUUUAUAAAGAAGCGAAAAAUAAAUAGAGAAUUUAAUCUGAAAAUUAAAGAAAAGAUUGAGUUACAAAUCAAAGAAGAACGUUAAAUACAAAAGUCAAAUAAAGGAUUCAAACCCUUCAAA